GAUGAAGAACGUAGCGAAAUGCGAUAAGUAAUGUGAAUUGCAGAAUUCAGUGAAUCAUCGAAUCUUUGAACGCACAUUGCGCCCGCCAGUAUUCUGGCGGGCAUGCCUGUUCGAGCGUCAUUUCAACCAUCAAGCCCCCGGCUUGUGUUGGGGACCUGCGGCUGCCGCAGGCCCUGAAAACCAGUGGCGGGCUCGCUGUCACACCGAGCGUAGUAGAUUUUCAUCUCGCUCAGGGCGUGCUGCGGGUUCCGGCCGUAAAAAGCCUUAUCUACCCAAGGUUGACCUCGGAUCAGGUAGGAAGACCCGCUGAACUUAAGCAUAUCAAUAAGCGGAGGA
rnacentral:misc_RNA from 1 species